GACGAACGCUGGCGGCGUGCUUAACACAUGCAAGUCGAACGAAGAGCGAUGGAAGCUUGCUUCUAUCAAUCUUAGUGGCGACCGGGUGAGUAACGCGUAAUCAACCUGCCCUUCAGAGGGGGACAACAGUUGGAAACGACUGCUAAUACCGCAUACGAUCUAAUCUCGGCAUCGAGGAAAGAUGAAAGGUGGCCUCUAUUUAUAAGCUAUCACUGAAGGAGGGGAUUGCGUCUGAUUAGCUAGUUGGAGGGGUAACGGCCCACCAAGGCGAUGAUCAGUAGCCGGUCUGAGAGGAUGAACGGCCACAUUGGGACUGAGACACGGCCCAGACUCCUACGGGAGGCAGCAGUGGGGAAUCUUCCGCAAUGGACGAAAGUCUGACGGAGCAACGCCGCGUGAGUGAUGACGGCCUUCGGGUUGUAAAGCUCUGUUAAUCGGGACGAAAGGCCUUCUUGCGAACAGUUAGAAGGAUUGACGGUACCGGAAUAGAAAGCCACGGCUAACUACGUG
rnacentral:rRNA from 1 species